rnacentral:rRNA from 1 species
UGGGGAAUAUUGCACAAUGGGGGAAACCCUGAUGCAGCGACGCCGCGUGGGUGAAGAAGUAUUUCGGUAUGUAAAGCCCUAUCAGCAGGGAAGAAAAUGACGGUACCUGACUAAGAAGCCCCGGCUAACUACGUGCCAGCAGCCGCGGUAAUACGUAGGGGGCAAGCGUUAUCCGGAUUUACUGGGUGUAAAGGGAGCGUAGGUGGCGUGCCAAGUCAGGAGUGAAAACCCAGGGCCCAACCCUGGGACUGCUCUUGAAACUGGCAGGCUUGAGUGCUGGAGAGGUAAGCGGAAUUCCUAGUG